rnacentral:lncRNA from 1 species
UGCUUAUGAGUUUAGAUUAAUCUGUCUAUUAUAUUUAUGUGUUAAGAAAGUAAACAAACAUGGCAAUUAUUUUAUUACAAACAUGUAAGUUUACUAUUGGUUUUACCAACCACUGCUGAUACUAAGGGCUUAUAGCUAUUAAGCUUACUAAAAUUUGAUUAUAUUGAAGUUCUCUUUUUGUAUCAGAAUAAGAAUAAGAUAAUUUUUAUGUUCAAAAUAUUAAUAACAGGGCACAUUAAGAGCAUAUUAAUCAAGUACAAUGAUUGAAGUAAUAGAUAUUAUGCAUAUAUAUAGCAAUGGGGCUUAUAAAUUAAUUAUAUUGUGUAUAAUAAUAUCCUUUUUUUUGCAGAAUUUUAAGAUGAAUGAGAAACAAUGGCUACUUCCAAUACAAUAGCACAUUUGAUAAAAUGAAUAAGACACAAGGACUGCACUUGUCAUUCUAAGGAAGAUCAACAAAUGAAACCCAAACAAGGAUAUUAUUUUCAUAUUAUCAGAUUCCUGUACAUUGAGAUAUAAAGAGAAAAUUAAUUUUCCUGAAAAGGCAACUCUUUACUUAUACAUAUAUGUGUGUGACAAAAUGAAUGGAAUCAAGACUGUUUUAACUGUGCUAAAAGGAAUACAAAUUAGAACAAUGUAGAAGUUAAUUGACUGUAUUAAAAAAAAGUGAGAAAAAAAAUUUGCUG